UUGUUGCCGGAGAAAAGAAACACUCGGCUCCAUGGCAACGGCAAAUCACUCAGCUCCAUGGCAACGGCAAAGCCCGGGAAGGACGUUCUGUUUUUUGGUUGGUGUCUGAUGCUGCUUUCAAGUGCUGGUGAUGAGCUCGCAACAUCUGAGAAUUCCCACUUGCAUUUGUUUACCGUUCAGGUGUUUGAUCCCAUCUUGAUGAUGAUAUGUAGCGAAACAUUUUAUUGAAUGCAAAGAAAAUGACAUGUUCUAAUAAAUCCUAUGAAACCCAA